UAGGGCGGAAGCCUGAUGCAGCGACGCCGCGUGAGGGAUGACGGCCUUCGGGUUGUAAACCUCUUUCGACAGGGACGAAGCGAGAGUGACGGUACCUGGAGAAGAAGCACCGGCCAACUACGUGCCAGCAGCCGCGGUAAGACGUAGGGUGCGAGCGUUGUCCGGAUUUAUUGGGCGUAAAGAGCUCGUAGGCGGCUCGUCGCGUCGACCGUGAAAACCCGCAGCUUAACUGCGGGCUUGCGGUUGAUACGGGCGGGCUAGAGUUCGGUAGGGGAGACUGGAAUUCCUGGUGUAGCGGUGAAAUGCGCAGAUAUCAGGAGGAACACCGGUGGCGAAGGCGGGUCUCUGGGCCGAUACUGACGCUGAGGAGCGAAAGCGUGGGGAGCGAACAGGAUUAGAUACCCUGGUAGUCCACGCUGUAAACGUUGGGCGCUAGGUGUGGGGGGCCUCUCCGGUUCUCUGUGCCGCAGCUAACGCAUUAAGCGCCCCGCCUGGGGAGUACGGCCGCAAGGCUA
rnacentral:rRNA from 1 species